rnacentral:lncRNA from 1 species
GGGUUGUACCUCCAUGUUGGCAAGAUAACCUUCUUGUACAAUCUCCAAUCUGAGCUCUUUCAACUGUUCGCACAAAUCAGGUGGUAGUUCUCGAGCUAUGAGUCCAUUCACAUAGCCCUUGCGGCUUAAUGCAACAUCCCAAUUUUCAAAACCCUUCAUAUGCAUUGCAUAUCAUGAGCAUCAUGUCACCCUUGCAUUUAAUCACAUUUGAUAACCCUAAAAUUUACCCUGAGAAUCCCUGUUCAAAAGUGCUUUUAUUUGAUUUUGGGCUUUGAUCUUACUUUCAAGCAUUUGUGUUUUAACCCAUGAGGGUAUUGGUAUAAAAAGGGAUUUAAUGCAUAUAUAAAGCUAUCCCAUAAGUUUGCUUUUGAAAUUAUUUUGAAAAUUAUUUUAUUUUGAUAGCCUAAGGGCCCUAAAAGCCAUUUUAUAAGCAAAUGUACUUUUAAGUAUUUUAUUUUGAGAAAAUUCUUGUUCCAGAAGUUAGAUCAUAUGAAAAUAUGAUUUUACAAAUUUUGUUGCAAUUUAUUGGGAGUGAUUUGGAGCUUUGAAUCAAUUUUGAAGUUUAAAAAACAGAAAAUAGAAAAAAAAUGAAAAGAAAAACCGAACCGGCCGAACCAGACCGAACUGGACCGCCCGACCGGCCUGCCCCGCGCGCUCGGUCACUGACAGUGGGCCCCACGCCGUCUCCUACCUCCAACUGCCGUCCGGAGUCCACGCCGAGCA